rnacentral:rRNA from 1 species
UACGUAGGGUGCAAGCGUUGUCCGGAAUUAUUGGGCGUAAAGAGCUCGUAGGCGGUUCGUCGCGUCGGCUGUGAAAACCUGAGGCUCAACCUCAGGCCUGCAGUCGAUACGGGCGGACUUGAGUACUGCAGGGGAGACUGGAAUUCCUGGUGUAGCGGUGAAAUGCGCAGAUAUCAGGAGGAACGCCGGUGGCGAAGGCGGGUCUCUGGGCAGUAACUGACGCUGAGGAGCGAAAGCGUGGGGAGCGAACAGG